rnacentral:ncRNA from 1 species
CUUCAGGUUCCUCUUUACGAGGAUUAAUAAGGAAUCUGGUAAAAGCCAGAACUGACGCGCAGCGGUAAAAGGGACGUUUUGAUAACACUGAAUGAUUUUGGGAAGUUAUCAAGUAUACGGUUAUCACCUUUAAGUCCGAAGACUUGCCUGUAGCUACA